rnacentral:rRNA from 1 species
UACAGAGGUCCCAAGCGUUGUUCGGAUUCAUUGGGCGUAAAGGGCGCGUAGGCGGUUUUGUAAGUCGAAUGUGAAAGCCCAGGGCUCAACCUUGGAAGUGCAUCCGAAACUGCGAAACUUGAAUCCUGGAGAGGGUGGUGGAAUUCCCAGUGUAGAGGUGAAAUUCGUAGAUAUUGGGAGGAACACCGGUGGCGAAGGCGACCACCUGGACAGAGAUUGACGCUGAGGCGCGAGAGCGUGGGGAGCAAACAGG